AUUGGGCAUAUGAUGAAUCUCAUCUAUAAAUGGGUAAUUUGCGUCUGAAUAUUUCAUUGAUGCUAUAUCACCUUGGAGACCUGAUGCUCGUA